GUGGGUAGCGGUCAAAUUCCAAUCGAGCCCGGAGAUAGCUGGUUCUCCCCGAAAUAGCUUUAGGGCUAGCCUCAAGGUGAGAGAUACGGAGGUAGAGCACUGAAUGUCCUAGGGGGUAUUGCACCUACCGAAGACUAUCAAACUCCGAAUGCCGUCAUCUUAUACUUGGGAGUCAGACUGUGGGUGAUAAGAUUCAUAGUCGAAAGGGCAACAGCCCAGAUCGUCAGCUAAGGUCCCUAAAUGUAAGUUAAGUGGUAAAGGAUGUGGGAUUGCACAGACAACCAGGAUGUUGGCUUAGAAGCAGCCACUCAUUCAAAGAGUGCGUAAUAGCUCACUGGUCGAGUGAUCCUGCGCCGAAGAUUUCCGGGGCUAAAACUUACUACCGAAGCUACGGCAUCAGUAAUGAUGGGUAGGGGAGCUUCCCAUACGGGUUGAAGCAUGACCGUAAGGACAUGUGGACAGUAUGGGAGUGAGAAUGUUGGCAUGAGUAGCGAGAUGUGGGUGAGAAUCCCACAGGCCGUAAACCCAAGGUUUCCAGGGGAAGGUUCGUCCGCCCUGGGUUAGUCGGGACCUAAGCUGAGGCCGAAAGGCGUAGGUGAUGGACAACAGGUUGAUAUUCCUGUACUACCGAUAACCGUUUGAGAGAAGGGAUGACACAGUAGGAUAAGCUAAGCACACUGUUGGUUAUGUGUGCCCAAGCAUUGAGGCAGUCAAAGUAGGCAAAUCCGCUUUGAUAAUGCUGGGAUGUGAUGGGGAGCGAAAUUUAGUAGCGAAGUAGCUGAUUUCACACUGUCAAGAAAAGUCUCUAUCGAGGUUAAAGGUACCCGUACCGCAAACCGACACAGGUGGGUGAGG
rnacentral:rRNA from 1 species